GACGAACCGUGCAAACGUUGUUCGGAAUCACUGGGCUUAAAGGGCGCGUAGGCGGGCAAGCAAGUCGAAGGUGAAAUCCCACGGCUCAACCGUGGAAGUGCCCCCGAUACUACUUGUCUGGAGGGAGAUAGGGGCGUGCGGAACUUCCGGUGGAGCGGUGAAAUGCGUAGAUAUCGGAAGGAACACCGGUGGCGAAAGCGGCGCGCUGGAUCUCUACUGACACUGAGGAGCGAAAGCCAGGGGAGCAAACGGG
rnacentral:rRNA from 1 species